rnacentral:rRNA from 1 species
ACGCUCGACACCUACGGGAGGCAGCAGUGGGAAUAUUGCACAAUGGGGGAAACCCUGAUGCAGCGACGCCGCGUGGAGGAAGAAGGUCUUCGGAUUGUAAACUCCUGUUGUUGGGGAAAAAGAGGAUGGUACCCAACAAGGAAGUGACGGCUAACUACGUGCCCGCAGCCGCAGUAAUCUGAGCGGGCUGGCAAGGC